ACAAAUGAUGGUGUUUAAUCUCUCCUUCAUCAAUACAACUUCACCUCUUAGAGGUUUUUAUAGUUUUUCCAGGUUAGGGUGGCAGUGUUCCAGGAGCUGUGUGUGCUGCGAGGAUGGAGGCACGUGUUUAUUCUUGACAAAAACAGCCCUAGGGAGAGAACUGAGUCUUCUGCAGAAAUCUUGGUCCUUUAGAAAACCAGACCCUGGCUUCCAUAAAAUGCUACUGGGCAGUCAGCAGACAGUGAGUGUGGAAGACGCCCCCCAGCAAGCCAGGCCUCCCCAUAGUCACACCCCAUUGGAUUUGGGCUGGUCUGUGACUUGCUUUAAACAAUAAAAUCUGGGAGGAGUAACACACUGAGUCUAAGACUUAAGAAGCUCUGGAAGUGUACACCUUUGUCUCUUGGGGAGGCCUUGAGCCAACAUGGAAGGAAUGUGGUCUCUCUGUGUUAUAGAGACUGUAUAGAGAGAGCUUGUAGAAAAGGAGAGACCCUGAGAAUCUAUGAGAGGAGACAGAGAGAGGCCCAGCUGUCCCACCUGAGGACAGCCUUCCUGCCACCCCUCCAAGGCCCCAGCCACGCGAGUGCCUCAUCUUGGAUGCCCCAGCCCAGUCCAGCCCACGGAUGGCAGAGGCCCCAGCCAAUACCAGACACAACAGAAGAACUGCCCCACUGGUCUCCGUCAUCCUACGAGAACAGUAAAAUUGUUGUCUUAUGCCAUUCACUUUGGAGCAGUGAAUUACACAGCAAUAGGUCACAGAGGCAAUCGGCAAUAUUUUUUGAGCUUUCACUCUUUGCCCAACUAUGCUUCCUCGCUGGGAGAGAUACAGAGAAACUAACCUCAGGAACUUUUCUGGGCAAGAAGCCUGCACAUAGAUGACAAAGCUGAGAGCAGGGACUUUGACUCUUUGGUCCACUGUUCAACUCCAGCACCCAGAACGGCAGGAAUUCAAACAAAUUCAACUAAACAGCACCAAAAUGUGCUCUGAUGGAGAGCAUGGGGGCCAACAAUCUUCCAGAUGAUGGCACAGUGGGACCUUGGAGAUGCGUGGAGGCUUUGAGGCCAUUCAGGAGAAUCUGCCCCUCCCACCUGCACUCUCUCCUUUCAUACUUAUUUUUCAAGGGCUCCCUAUGGGUAGGACUUGUGUACCAAGAGGAAUCAGAUUUCCCCCAUCUGCCCCCAAGUAGGUUAUAAUUACAAUGUAAUAGGUUUUCUGCAAGGAAAAACUUAUGCAGAAAAAAUAUGGUAAAGUUAUAAAAGCACAAAGAGAAGCAAACUAA